ensembl:lncRNA
CGUCCUCUCUCUGCGCUGGCUUCUCUUUCCGUGAAGUGAGGGCGUAUGGUCCGGGGGCUUCAAUUGUUGGGGCCAGUGGGCUAUUAAUUACCGCUCCUGGCUCUAAAACACAGCUCAGUGGCUCAUCACAGAUGGAGUUACUCCUUGGCGCGUGGGAUCAUUUCAGUUCAGGGGGUACUCUUGUUUCCUGCAUUGGCAGGGGGCUUCUUUACCGCUGAUCCAUCAGAGAAGUCCUUGCUUUCUAGUUUUUUAAUUUUUUUUUCUUUGAUUGAGGUGGAAAGAAUUUACAAUAUGUGUUGGGUUUAGGUGUAUAGCAGACUGACUGAGUGGUACAUAGGCACCUGGUUUUUCUUUUCAUAUUUUGUUUCCAAAGGAGUUUAUUGCAGAAGGUUGAGCACAGUGCCCUGCCCAUAUAGUAGGGAUUCCUGCAGACUUUUUGAGGCUGUUCCUUCUGACUGGUGCAGGGUACUGUGAAUUUUCUCCCAGUAGAUUAUGGCUGAAAGGAUUGGGCCCACUGGAAAUCCUCAAAAGCUAUCAGCUGAAACUAACCAGAAGCCAGAAGACAAGGCAACCCACAGAUGCAGCUUAUUCAUUCAGCCCUAACAGAGCAGAACAAAUAAGGCUGAAGAGUAGGUUCGGACUCACAGAGAAGACAGCUGGCACAGAAGCUGACAAGAUGUUUCCGAAUGAGCUUUGCCAGGUGUUGGCACAUUUGUGGGAUCACCAUGGAUACAAGUUCUGCUCCUCAAUUUUUAAGCUGCACCUCUAUUUUAUUUAUCAGCAUUUUCUAGAAUGAUUGAAAUAAGAGAUUCUGGAGACUCAACUAACUGGAAGGGAAACGUUACCUUCUACAUUCCAAAUCAAAUGUAAAUAUACAACCAGCUGACCCAACUUGACCUCCAGGCUCAGAUCAUCAAAACUUUCAAGGUCCUUGAGAGAAGGAACCAUUCAUGUCUGGCUUGCCUAGCACAGUGACCAGUACAGAAGAGAUGCUGCUGCUGCUGCUGCUGCUGCUAAGUCGCUUCAGUUGUGUCUGAUUCUGUGCGACCCCAUAGAUGGCAGCCCGCCAGGCUCCCCCCCCGUCCCUGGGAUUCUCCAGGCAUGAGCACUGGAGUGGGUUGCCAUUUCCUUCUCCAAUGCAUGAAAGUGAAAAGUGAAAGUGAAGUCGCUCAGCCGUGUCCGACUCUCAGCGACCCCAUGGACUGCAGCCCACCAGGCUCCUCGGUCCAUGGGAUUUUCCAGGCAAGAGAUGCUAAAAAAAAAAAAAAAAAAAAAAAAUUCUUAAAUGAGUGAAGCAGUUUUAUUUACAGCAGAGAUGGCAGUAAGAUGACAAGAAAUCAGCUAGAGGAAGAGAAGAAAUCUCAAUUUAAAAUCAAGUUUAAUUUUGGAACUGAAGUGGAAAAAUGCCCAUAGGGAUUUCAAUUACCAAAAGCAAACAAAUCAAGUCACAGAUCAGUAUAAGUUCACAGGCAGGUGCAAGGAAGAACAUAGUUCCACUGAGUAGAUUUAAAGGGGUGGUGGGAGUUCCAGUGAUAAAGUUGCUUUAUGAUUACAUUGCUUGAAAUAGGACAGUUCACGGUGCUUAUGAUAAACAUGCAUAUGUGUAAGCCAAAAAAGUUCUUACUCCUCAUAAUAUAUACUUAUUCUUAAGUCAUGGGCCAUGUUAAUCAUCAUAAUUAGUACAUAUCGUGAACUUGGUGAUUUAAGAUAAUACAUGUAAUUUAAGGUUUAAAGGAAGAGACUUCUCUAGAAAGACAAACACCAUAUGAUAUCACUUAUAUGUGGAAUCUGAAAUAUGACGCAAAUGAAGCUACCUAUGAAACAGAAACAAACUCACAGAGGGACACUGAGAACAGACUUGUGAUUGCCAAAGGGAG